rnacentral:lncRNA from 1 species
UAGUUUGGGUCUUGUCCAUCACAUCAUUUUCCUAAUGAUGUGAUCCCGUUAUCAAAUGACAACUCAUGUCUAUGGCGAGGAAACCUUGACCGUCUUUGAUCAACGAGCUAGUCCAUUAGAGGGUCACUAGGGAGAGUGUGUUGUCUAUGUAUCCACACAUGUAUUUGAGUUUCCAAUCAGUACAAUUCUAGCCUGGAUAAUAAACGAUUAUCACGAACAAGGAAACAUAAUAAUAACCACUUUAUUAUUACCUCUAGGGCAUAUUUCCAACAUCUAAUGGAGACUGCUUUCCACCCUUUUCAGCACCAUCUGAGGUGGUCGAUCUGUAAGAAAAUCAACAUCAGAACAUGAAAUGCUAUCAAUGGCAAGAUCAACAUAUGUCUUAAUUUGCUCACAAUCUAAUGAAAUAAGAAAAGAAAAUCUCAGGUAACCACGUGAUACACAAAGCAAAGGACAUUUAAAUCCUAAAACGUGAAGAUGUUUGAUAUACAUGGUGUUCUGCCAUGAUGACCAAGAAGAAAAGUAGUAUAGAAGUAGAAUUUAUAUAAACAAAUAAGAUGCACUAUAUUAGAAGAAAUGAUGAAAUCAAUUUCAGAACUUCCCUCUUCCCUACCCUACCCCUGAUAUACAUUCAAUUUUGUCGGACGCAAAAUUCCAAUAGAACAAUAGGACUGAUGGAAUCAAUUUCAGAACCACCAUAAAGAACUAAACUAACUUCCAAACAAACAUUUCAAGCUUGGAAGUGCCAAACAUGCACAUAUUCAUAUAGUGGGUAGGAAUGUAACAACAAUUGUCUGCUUGCAUAGGAAAUAAUGGUCAUAAUGGUGCCAAUUGAACAUAGAUGAGUAACGAAAUUAAAAACCAGAGAGUUGUGGAAGCAGUGACCUCAGGUGGUGUUUCCCUUGUGCUCCUGGCUCCGGCACCUAACGACCACGGGUCUAUAUUCC